rnacentral:lncRNA from 1 species
AUGCCUUCAGUAAGCCGUGCACACCUACCUAAAAUAAUUUCGGUGUGCAUCCUACCAAUCUCAAAGGGAAGCUUUUGGACAAGAGAAGCACUGGGAUUGGAAACAGGAUGCUGCAUUCAGCAAGGAAGCAACCUUAGCCUGGAAAUCUUUAGGGACUUGGAAGACCUCCCUGGAAAGUCAACAUGAAAAAGAUUCAUGGUGUUGGAUUCUUCUUAAGGCUGCUGAAUAGCUGUACAUCUGUUCUGGAAUGCCAUCUGGAGUCAUUUGAGGCUAAUAAGGUGAGCAGUAUCAGUUCUUCAUUUUGGGUAGGUGAGGGGAAUCAAAGUUGAAAUAUUGCAUCUACAAGAAGAGUAGUUCUGUUUUACUUUUUUUUUCUUUUAAUUGCCUAGAAUGUGUGCUUGGAAUUUUUCUCCUUGGCAUCAGGCUUGGUGCAUGCUACAUAUUUUCUGAAUUAAAGAGAAAGUGUCUUAGUGGCAAGAGUGCUGAGUCUAAGAUCAGAAAGAGCCACAUUCAAAUUCCAAAACUGCAGUUUACUAGCUUUAUAAACUUCAGCAGGUUGCUUCUUUUCUCCAAAACUGAUCCUUUUCAUCUGUAAAACAAAGAUAACUACAUUACUAGCUUAUAAAGAUUUUGUGACUCCUAAAUGCUCUUGGCAGUUAGUCAAUGUGUAAUAAACAUUAACUAUUGUUAUAGAACACUAACUGUAUACAUGCUGUGCACAUGUUUACCAAGGCAUGGUGCUAUGGAUUCCACACUACAAGAGACAGAGUCCCUUGGCACACUUUAUCUCAUGGAGGACAUCUGCCAUUAAUUGGCAUGGUGGCUUCUUGUAGAAGACACUCAUAGAGCUGUCUCUUCAGUUCCCCCUUUUCUACUGAUUGCCUUGCGCUUGUUUAUCCUUAGUGUGACUGUAAGAGUUACUGUGCCAGUACAGUGAUUCUGUUCCUUAGACACAGUGGACUGACCCAAGAUAUUGACUUGGGACCCAGAGAGUUGAGUUUGCUUCUUUCUCUGUCUUAUAGCAGUAAGAUUGACAACUCAGGGACUAUUAGAGUCCUUCCACAUGGACUUGAGAAACAAAAGAAUUUGGUCUAGAGAAAGACAAGGAAAGAUAAAGAAAAGAAAAAAAAGAACAAAAUAAAGAGAAAGAGAUAUGUAGUGGAUGUGUAGGGAGGAGUGGGAAUAUGAGUUGAAAAAUGAAUCUCAAACAAUACCUUGGUCCAUUUAUUCCUGAAAUCCAGCUAUAUGCCUAGUGCUGAGUUCCUUGAGAUGAUUCAGCAGUAUUUCAAAAGUAUCUCUACUUUUACCUAAGCUAUUGAGAGUUGGGUUUUCAUCACUUGUGAUCCCCUAAAUUCUAAGUAAUACCUUCUGCUAAUGUUGCAGCAGUGAGGGUGCCCAGCACACGUGUGCAACAGAUGUUACAGCUGUUACACAUAGCUAACAUUACACCCACCUGGCCUUUCUAAAUGAUUGGUCAUCAUCAUCAUACUCACUGCAGAGAAUAUAUACAUGAGUUUUUAAAACGACUAUCUGUAUGAUACUGUUUUUUGUAUGGUCUUAAGGGUAAGAGAGAAGUUGGAGUGGCAUUGUAGCUGCAGAUAUUGGCAGUUUUAAACACUGAACCCCAGGAACCUCACAGACUAGAGGCACAAAAGGAAAGGCUGAGAAGAGUAGAACCCCUCAGAGAUUUGUCUGCCCCCAGCAAUUUCUGCUAGAGCCAACAGUUCUUCAAUACUGCCAGGGUCACUUAUUAUAGGGAAAGUGAUCCUGGAAAAAGAUAUUGCCAGGUUCCAGUGGCUCAGAGCCUCUACCCCUAUCAUAGGCUGUACCUAAGAGCUA